UACGAAGGGGGCGAGCGUUGUUCGGAUUUACUGGGCGUAAAGCGCGCGCAGGCGGACUGAUCAGUCUGGGGUGAAAUCUCACGGCUCAACUGUGAGCGGUCCCUGGAUACUGUCAGCCUUGAGAUGUCUAGAGGAGAGCGGAAUUCCCGGUGUAGUGGUGGAAUGCGUAGAUAUCGGGAAGAACACCAGUGGCGAAAGCGGCUCUCUGGGGACCAUCUGACGCUGAGGCGCGAAAGCGUGGGGAGCGAACCGG
rnacentral:rRNA from 1 species